GGGGAAUUGGUUUAGUGGUAUAAUGUUCCCUUAGCAAGGAUUCCUAGAAUCCCUGUCGUGGGAGAGGUCGCGAGUUCGAUUCUUGCAUUCUCCA